rfam:Novosphingobium sp. SCN 63-17 ABT10_C0003, whole genome shotgun sequence.
CGCCCAUCCCCGGGGGGCCGCUGAUGCGCGGCUGAGAGGUGGUCAGCAGACCACGACCCGCUGAACCUGAUCCGGUUGAUACCGGCGUAGGGAGGGUUGGCGGCCGGUCC